GAUAGGCUAGCUGAAUAAAAUAAUUUGUUGAAAUAUAAGAGGAAGAAUUAAGAUAGACUAAUUGAGAAACUCAAGUUUUGAUUUGUGGUUGAUGCUAAAAGUCUUCUAGUACAUGAGUAUUUAUAGGUACUAUUACUACUACAGAUGCUACUACUACUAUUAAUACUACUACUACUACUACUGUUAUUUCUACUACUGCUACUACUUCU
rnacentral:lncRNA from 1 species